UACGGGGGGAGCAAGCGUUGUUCGGAAUUACUGGGCGUAAAGGGCUCGUAGGCGGCCAACUAAGUCGGACGUGAAAUCCCUCGGCUUAACCGGGGAACUGCGUCCGAUACUGGAUGGCUUGAGGUUGGGAGAGGGAUGCGGAAUUCCAGGUGUCGCGGUGAAAUGCGUAGAUAUCUGGAGGAACACCGGUGGCGAAGGCGGCAUCCUGGACCAAUUCUGACGCUGAGUGAGCGAAAGCCAGGGGAGCAAACGGG
rnacentral:rRNA from 1 species